rnacentral:rRNA from 1 species
ACCUGCCCAAUGAUUAAAUUUAAAUGGCCGCGGUAUUUUGACCGUGCAAAGGUAGCAUAAUCAUUAGUUUUUUAAUUGAGAACUGGUAUGAAGGGUUGAACGAAAAAAAGACUGUCUCAAUUUAAUUUGAAUUAGAAUUUUAUUUUUAAGUAAAAAAGCUUAAAUGAUUUUAAAAGACGAGAAGACCCUAUAGAGUUUUAUAUUGAAUUGUGUAUAUGAGAAAUUAAAGGAUUUAAAUUUUUUAUAUAUAAUUUAAGUAUUUGGUUGGGGCGAUUAAAAAAUUUAAAUAACUUUUUUUAAAUUUAAACAUUUAUUUAUGAAUAAGUGAUCCAUAUUUAAUGAUUAAAAGAUU